rnacentral:rRNA from 1 species
AACGAACGCUGGCGGCAGGCUUAACACAUGCAAGUCGAGCGCCCAGCAAUGGGAGCGGCGGACGGGUGAGUAACACGUGGGAAUAUGCCUUUCGGUACGGAACAACCCAGGGAAACUUGAGCUCAUGCCGUAUAUGCCCUUACGGGGAAGGAUUUAUCGCCGAAAGAUUAGCCCGCGUCUGAUUGGAUUGUUGGUUAGGUAACGGCUCACCAAGGCGACGAUCAGUAGCUGGUUUGCGAGAACGAACAGCCACACUGGGACUGAGACACGGCCCAGACUCCUACGGGAGGCAGCAGUGGGGAAUCUUGGACAAUGGGGGAAACCCUGAUCCAGCCAUGCCGCGUGAGUGAUGAAGGCCUUCGGGUUGUAAAACUCUUUCGACGGGGACGAUAAUGACGGUACCCGUAGAAGAAGCUCCGGCUAACUUCGUGCCAGCCGCCGCGGUAAAAC